GCCACCCUAGCUCAGUUGGUCAGAGCAACUGUUUUGUAAACAGUAGGUCGUCGGUUCGACUCCGACGGGUGGCUCCA
rnacentral:tRNA from 1 species